GAGGAAAACAUUUUCCGGAAAAGCUUUUCAGCCUUUUCCAGCAUUUGUUUGGGAGGAAAAUAUUUUUCCAAGUAAAAUGAAUUACAAAACACGGGAAAACAAAGCCAAUACUUUAGGAAAAUGUCUUACCCUUUUUAUUUCAGUAAAACAUUUUCAGGAAAAGAAGCAAUACGAUCUUCCCUUUCCCUUCCCCUUCCCCUUCCCCUUCCCCCAUCAUUUUCGGUAAAAGUUUGCUUUGAUUCGUGAUAAAUUCCCCCAAGUUUCUCAUCAAAAUUGAAAAUUUUCAAUCGUCUUCUCUUUUAAUCUUCUCGAUUCCGAAUCUCUCCCAAAAGGUGAAUGCUGAAAAAUUUGUUGUAUCUGGAAAGAAAAGGACACAAAAGCUCUACAGGAGGCAUUCAGGAAGACCAGGUGGCAUGAAAGUGGAAACAUUCAACCAGCUGCAGCAGAGAAUUCCUGAAAGAAUUAUUGAGCACGCUGUUCGUGGUAUGCUUCCUAAAGGAAGGAGCAUUGUUUAACCACCUAAAGGUUUACAAGGGUCCAGACCAUCCACACGAUGCUUAGAAGCCUAUUGAGCUGCCAAUACAAAACAAGAGGGUUCAAAAGCAGAGAUAAUCAAAAUAUAAAGCAGGGUCUGGCUUGAGGGUGCGCAGAUUUGCUGAAAUUACGGAGUGGUCCGAUCAACCAUCGGUGAAGGUGGCGGUCACAAUUGAUGCACCUGCUGAUCUCAAAUUGGUUAUGGAGAGGUUGAUGGAAUGAUGAUAAGGAUGGUUGUAUUGUGUAAUCAGUGUAAAUGUUUAAGAUUGUAUAAGCUUUGUCAGUGGACUAAUUUGUUCUGUUACGGUAGCUGUUAUUGUUUCAAUAAAAGGUAAUAAUUUUAUGCUA